GACGUAGGGUCCAAGCGUUGUCCGGAUUUACUGGGCGUAAAGAGCGCGUAGGCGGCUCGUUAAGUGUGAAGUGAAUCUCUAAGGCUCAACCAGAACUGCUUACAUACUGGCGUAGCUGGAGUGAUGAAGAGGUUGUGGAAUUCCUGGUGUAGCGGUGAAAUGCGUUGAUAUACAGGAGGAACACCCAUGGCGAAGGCAGGCAACUGGUCAUCAACUGACGCUGAGGCGCGAAAGCGUGGGUAGCAAACAGG
rnacentral:rRNA from 1 species